CGAUUUCUAAAUAUAUUUGGCAGAAGUGUGCAGAAAUUGUAUGGCAUCGACCUACUUUUGUUCCUUAUUGUGGAUAGCUAUUUAUGUGUAAAACAAAAAAUGUCGAAACGACAUCGUUUGGGUGAUUGUUAUUCAUCGAGUGUAAAGAGAGUCUUCUGAUGGGUGUGUAUAGGGAAUAAUAGGGAGAGGAUCCUUUGUUUUCGUGUUUGAUGGGCACUGCAGUGCAGGAGUUUUUUUUGGGCUACAGCUAACGUCGCUCGCAUGCUAUCUUGCUAGAUAAAAUGUAAAUGGCGAAUGGACAAAACGUCCAGGGACGUGCAUGCGGCGGAAAAGUAUUCUAGCCUAGUUACGUUAGUUAGCUAGUCUUUUAAAUAAACACGCAGUAUAAGCUAACAUAGCUAGGAAGCUCCUAAACCAGGCUAAUGUUACAGAACAGUACAAAAGAUGCAUCAUACAUGCACGUGGGUAGCAUCCUGCGCUUGGCCAUAAGGCGAGACCGCGACAGGGACCGCGACGAGCGGUCGAAGGACAGGGACAGAGACCGGGAUGCCAAGCUCUCUGGCAUGGCCCUGAACCCGGCUGUUGGCAGCGCAGGCCUCUCCCACAAGCAGACGGCCAUGCAGCAGCAGAUCAACCCGUUCACCAACCUGCCCCACACGCCGCGUUACUACGAGAUCCUGAAGAAGAGGCUGCAGCUGCCAGUGUGGGAGUACAAGGAGCGCUUCAACGACAUCCUGGGACGCCACCAGAGUUUCGUGCUCGUCGGAGAGACGGGCUCCGGCAAGACCACGCAGAUCCCCCAGUGGUGUGUGGACAUGGUUAAGGGGUUGGGCGGACCUAAGAAGGCAGUGGCCUGUACCCAGCCCAGGAGGGUGGCAGCCAUGAGCGUGGCCCAGAGGGUGGCUGACGAGAUGGACGUCAUGCUGGGCCAGGAGGUCGGUUACUCCAUUCGAUUCGAGGACUGCAGCUCGGCCAAGACCUUCCUCAAGUACAUGACAGACGGUAUGUUGCUGCGGGAGGCCAUGAACGACCCUCUGCUGGAGCGCUACGGCGUCGUCAUCCUGGACGAGGCCCACGAGAGAACGCUUGCCACAGACAUCCUCAUGGGCGUCCUCAAAGAGGUGGUCCGACAGAGGUCAGACCUCAAGGUCAUCGUCAUGAGCGCCACGCUGGAUGCCGGCAAGUUCCAGGUGUACUUUGACAGCUGUCCGCUGCUAACCAUACCGGGACGCACGCACCCGGUAGAGAUCUUCUACACGCCGGAACCUGAGAGGGACUACCUGGAGGCAGCCAUCCGCACUGUUAUCCAGAUCCACAUGUGUGAAGAGGAAGAGGGCGACUGUCUGCUCUUCCUCACUGGACAAGAGGAAAUCGACGAGGCCUGCAAGCGCAUCAAGAGGGACAUCGACGACCUGGGACACGACGCGGGUGACAUCAAAAUCAUCCCGUUGUACUCGACGCUGCCGCCCCAGCAGCAGCAAAGGAUCUUUGAGCCGCCACCACCCCGCAAGCCCAACGGAGCCAUCGGGAGGAAGGUCGUGGUUUCGACAAACAUCGCUGAGACAUCCCUGACCAUUGACGGUGUGGUGUUUGUAAUUGAUCCCGGAUUUGCCAAGCAAAAGGUGUAUAACCCUCGUAUCAGAGUGGAGUCCCUCCUGGUGACAGCCAUCAGCAAAGCCUCGGCCCAGCAGAGGGCGGGGCGCGCCGGGAGGACACGCCCAGGGAAGUGCUUCCGCCUCUACACAGAGAAGGCCUACAAGACCGAGAUGCAGGACAACACAUAUCCAGAGAUUUUGAGGUCCAACCUGGGCUCGGUCGUGCUGCAGCUCAAGAAGCUAGGUAUCGACGACUUGGUCCAUUUCGACUUCAUGGACCCACCAGCACCGGAAACCCUGAUGCGGGCCCUGGAGCUGCUCAACUACGUGGCGGCGCUCAACGAUGACGGCGACUUGACGGAGCUAGGCUCCAUGAUGGCCGAGUUCCCCCUAGACCCGCAGCUAGCCAAGAUGGUGAUUGCCUCCUGCGAGUUCAACUGCUCCAAUGAGAUCCUGUCCAUCACAGCCAUGCUGUCAGUCCCACAGUGCUUCGUACGACCCACGGAGGCUAGGAAGGCGGCCGACGAGUCCAAGAUGCGUUUCGCCCACAUUGACGGAGACCACCUGACCCUCCUCAAUGUCUACCACGCCUUCAAACAGAACCAUGAGUCGACACAGUGGUGCUACGACAACUUUGUGAACUACAGGUCGCUGAUGUCGGCCGACAACGUGCGCCAGCAGCUGUCCCGGAUCAUGGACCGCUUCAGCCUGCCCCGCCGCAGCACAGAGUUCACCAGCAGAGACUACUACAUCAACAUUCGCAGAGCGCUGGUCACAGGAUUCUUCAUGCAGGUAGCCCAUUUGGAGCGUACAGGCCACUACCUGACUGUGAAGGACAACCAGGUGGUCCAGCUGCACCCCUCCACUGUGCUGGACCACAAGCCGGAGUGGGUGAUGUACAAUGAGUUUGUGCUGACCACCAAAAACUACAUCCGCACCUGCACCGACAUCAAACCAGAGUGAUUCUUCUAGGCGUCUGUGAAUGUGCUUGCCUGCAGUCAAACCCGCCUGCUCCUAGAUCCAUAUUCCAGAGAGAGAGACUACAGCUUCUAGUGUUCAUGUUUCCUGCUAGACUGGCUGGUGAAAAUCGCCCCGCAGUACUAUGAGAUGGGAAACUUCCCCAACUGUGAAGCCAAGAGACAGUUGGAGCGCAUCGUAGCUAAACUCUCAACCAAGGAAUACUCUCAGUACUAACACAAGUGUGUAUGAGAACAAUACCAGCACGAAGGGCAUCUGAACUCUUUAUCUGAGCACUCUUCAUUUUCUUCAAAAGCCUUUUCUUCUCAUUGGUUCAUAAUUUAUUCUUUUCAUACUUUUUGUUUGGGUCUUCCUUAUUUUGACCACCUGUAGUCAUUUGUGAUUAACAGGUGGUUGGCACUGCGGCCGAUCCGGGUAGGAGUUAGCGGUCAACACAGUUACUGCCAUUGACCAUGGUAAAGCAUGACCAUUUAUGUAGAUGUUGACAUUCCUUUUUAGAAAGUGUGAACUCUUACUGAAAUGUACUUAGGUAGAGACAUUCCAUGCUAAUUCAUUGAACCAACUUUGACUUCAAUUUAAGGAAAAAUACCAGCGUGGACGGUUUAGCACCCACCGUCUUGCUUGUAUAGCUAUCAGACUUUGGUGUUAUGUUAGGGGGAGGGGCUCAAUAGGUUGAAAUGUUAAAAACGUGAUUGUCUUGUGUUUUAUAUAUUGUUUUUGAGGUUGGAAUAAUACUGUGAAAAUGAUAAUGCCCUUUUAGUGUAAGAGCUGUUUGAAAAGAGCCUGACAUUUCAGUCUGUUUUGAUUGGAUGGACUUUUGUAAAUUAGUUGAUAGACCAAUAAGAAAGAGUUCCAAACCUCUGCCAAUAACAGCUAGUUUUCCAUUUUCCCCUCGCCACUCAGACCACUUCCAGACAGUCCAAGCUAAGUUCUUGCUUGAGAAAUUGCUUUCUUUUUGACCAUUUUAAUUGAAAACUAUCACAGUAAGGUACUUAUUUAACAAGAAAGGUUUGAUAUUGAUAUACAAACAGACGCAUAGGGCCUUUAAUGUAUGUUAAUGGACACAAGGGAGAUCCCCUUGUGUGAACAAAUGUGAGAUUAUAGUGGUGUGCAGACUGGGAAAUCACCUGGUCAUCCAUUUUAAAUAACAUGAAUAAACUGUAAUAAUUUGUAA